GAACGAGCGAGAGAGAGUUUACUUUUUCGAGCGAGUGGCGAACGGGUGAGUAACGCGUGAGGAACCUGCCUCAAAGAGGGGGACAACAGUUGGAAACGACUGCUAAUACCGCAUAAGCCCACGACCCGGCAUCGGGUAGAGGGAAAAGGAGCAAUCCGCUUUGAGAUGGCCUCGCGUCCGAUUAGCUAGUUGGUGAGGUAAUGGCCCACCAAGGCGACGAUCGGUAGCCGGACUGAGAGGUUGAACGGCCACAUUGGGACUGAGACACGGCCCAGACUCCUACGGGAGGCAGCAGUGGGGAAUAUUGCACAAUGGGGGAAACCCUGAUGCAGCGACGCCGCGUGGAGGAAGAAGGUCUUCGGAUUGUAAACUCCUGUUGUUGAGGAAGAUAAUGACGGUACUCAACAAGGAAGUGACGGCUAACUACGUGCCAGCAGCCGCGGUAAAACGUAGGUCACAAGCGUUGUCCGGAAUUACUGGGUGUAAAGGGAGCGCAGGCGGGAAGACAAGUUGGAAGUGAAAUCCAUGGGCUCAACCCAUGAACUGCUUUCAAAACUGUUUUUCUUGAGUAGUGCAGAGGUAGGCGGAAUUCCCGGUGUAGCGGUGGAAUGCGUAGAUAUCGGGAGGAACACCAGUGGCGAAGGCGGCCUACUGGGCACCAACUGACGCUGAGGCUCGAAAGUGUGGG
rnacentral:rRNA from 1 species